CGCCUCGCAAUGCUUACUACAGGCUGUGUUUUUUACACUGACUGUACAGAAAGAGAAGGUACAGUAAAUGCACCCAUAUACACCUUAACCCAGGCCCUUUGCCUGGUCUGUAUUGUGAAUGCGGGGGGACAAAA